rnacentral:rRNA from 1 species
CUCAAGAUGAGAUCUCACUGGGAUCUUGAAUCCCCUAAAGGGCCCGUCGAAGACUACGACGUUGAUAGGUUGGGUGUGUAAGCGCUGUGAGGCGUUGAGCUAACCAAUACUAAUUGCCCGUGAGGCUUGACCAUAUAACACCC